rnacentral:rRNA from 1 species
UACGGGGGGGGUAAGCGUUGUUCGGAAUUACUGGGCGUAAAGGGCUCGUAGGCGGCCAACUAAGUCAGACGUGAAAUCCCUCAGCUUAACUGGGGAACUGCGUCUGAUACUGGAUGGCUUGGAUUCGGGAGAGGAAUGCGGAAUUCCAGGUGUAGCGGUGAAAUGCGUAGAUAUCAGGAAGAACACCAAUGGCGAAGGCAGCUCUCUGGGACGGUACUGACACUGAGACGCGAAAGCGUGGGGAGCGAACAGG